ACCCAAAUAGCUAAGUUGGGAGAACGUUGGACUAUAGAUCGAAGGGUCCCUGGUUCGAUCCCGGGAAUUGGCA
rnacentral:tRNA from 1 species